rnacentral:lncRNA from 12 species
GGGGAGUGUUUGACCCAAUCCACUGCUCUGUCCUCUAAAGGAAUUAAGCAAAAAAAACAUUUUUUUUUUCUCUUCAGGACAGAUCUUCAGAAGGGAAGGAUCAUAAAAGGAUUAUGGGAAUUCAGAGCCAUAAGAGAAUUUAGAGAUCAUGUGUUUCAGCUCUAGGAUACUCAGAGACUAUUUUGAAAACAAGGAAUCAAAAUUUAAAUCCAGGAAGGGAGGUGAAACAUCAGUCAAGCAAUAAAUGUUGUUUGGCUUGGAAUGAAGUUAAAGUGUUCAUCAAAAUUUACAGGCACUUGUGACGAGAAACCUAUCAUUAAGCCUUGGCUGAGGAAACUGGGUCAUAACAUAGCGGAGAGAGUGAGAUCAGCAGAAGAUGGCAGCCAAUCCUCAAAUGCCAAAUCUUUUCACACCAUGUCUGGACUUCCUUGCUCCCCUGAUUCAGCUAUUCUUAUCCAAAUGAGAAAGAACACCAGUAGGCAACUAAUCAGCUGAAGAAGCCAAAUAGCUCCUGCAUUUAUCCCAUAAAAAUCCCUUAGUUUGGGAGCAACUCAGAACUCACUGUUCCCAUGGCCUUGAAUUUUCUGGCUUGCAAGUGCAAACCCCUGAAAUAAAUUCAUCUUUCUGUUUUGCUCUAUUUGGUAC